rnacentral:rRNA from 1 species
AGUGAACGCUGGCGGUAGGCCUAACACAUGCAAGUCGAGCGGCAGCACAGUAAGAGCUUGCUCUUACGGGUGGCGAGUGGCGGACGGGUGAGGAAUACAUCGGAAUCUACUUUUUCGUGGGGGAUAACGUAGGGAAACUUACGCUAAUACCGCAUACGAUCUACGGGUGAAAGCAGGGGAUCUUCGGACCUUGCGCGAUUGAAUGAGCCGAUGUCGGAUUAGCUAGUUGGCGGGGUAAAGUCCCACCAAGGCGACGUUGCGUAGCUGGUCUGAGUGGAUGAUCCGCCACACUGGAACUGAGACACGGUCCAGACUCCUACGGGAGGCAGCAGUGGGGAAUAUUGGACAAUGGGCGCAAGCCUGAUCCAGCCAUACCGCGUGGGUGAAGAAGGCCUUCGGGUUGUAAAGCCCUUUUGUUGGGAAAGAAAAGCAGCAGGUUAAUACCCCGCUGUUCUGACGGUACCCAAAGAAUAAGCACCGGCUAACUUCGUG